GACGAACCGAGCGAACGUUGUUCGGAAUCACUGGGCUUAAAGGGCGCGUAGGCGGGCUGUCAAGUCUGGGAUGAAAUCCCGCGGCUCAACCGUGGAACUGCCUCAGAUACUGACGGCCUCGAGGGAGAUAGGGGCGAGCGGAACUAAUGGUGGAGCGGUGAAAUGCGUUGAUAUCAUUAGGAACUCCGGUGGCGAAGGCGGCUCGCUGGAUCUUUUCUGACGCUGAGGCGCGAAAGCUAGGGGAGCAAACGGG
rnacentral:rRNA from 1 species